rnacentral:rRNA from 1 species
UUACCGUGAAAAAAUUAGAGUGUUCAAAGCAGGCAGAUCCAAUUUUCUGCCACCGAAUACAUUAGCAUGGGAUAAUGGAAUAGGACCCUGUCCUCCUAUUUUCAGUUGGUUUGCCGCGAGGACCAGGGUAAUGAUUAAUAGGGAUAGUUGGGGGCAUUAAUAUUUAAUUGUCAGAGGUGAAAUUCUUGGAUUUAUGAAAGAUUAACUUCUGCGAAAGCAUCUGCCAAGGAUGUUUUCAUUAAUCAAGAACGAAAGUUAGGGGAUCGAAGACGAUCAGAUACCGUCGUAGUCUUAACCAUAAACGAUGCCGACCAGCGAUUAGGAGACGUUGAAUACAAAACACCACCAUGCGCAUUGCGGUCGUCUUUGGUGUCGC